rnacentral:rRNA from 1 species
UUGGGAAUUUUGGACAAUGGGCGAAAGCCUGAUCCAGCAAUGCCGCGUGUGUGAAGAAGGCCUUCGGGUUGUAAAGCACUUUUGUCCGGAAAGAAAUGGCUCUGGUUAAUACCUGGGGUCGAUGACGGUACCGGAAGAAUAAGGACCGGCUAACUACGUGCCAGCAGCCGCGGUAAUACGUAGGGUCCAAGCGUUAAUCGGAAUUACUGGGCGUAAAGCGUGCGCAGGCGGUUGUGCAAGACCGAUGUGAAAUCCCCGAGCUUAACUUGGGAAUUGCAUUGGUGACUGCACGGCUAGAGUGUGUCAGAGGGGGGUAGAAUUCCACGUGUAGCAGUGAAAUGCGUAGAGAUGUGGAGGAAUACCGAUGGCGAAGGCAGCCCCCUGGGAUAACACUGACGCUCAUGCACGAAAGCGUGGGGAGCAAACAGG